GUGGGGAAUCUUCCGCAAUGGACGAAAGUCUGACGGAGCGACGCCGCGUGAGUGAAGAAGGCCUUCGGGUCGUAAAGCUCUGUCAUCAGGGACGAACGGCCGGUGGAGUGGAAAGCCACCGGAUUGAUGGUACCUGAGAAGGAAGCCACGGCUAACUACGUGCCAGCAGCCGCGGUAAUACGUAGGUGGCAAGCGUUGUCCGGAAUUAUUGGGCGUAAAGCGCGCGCAGGUGGGAUCUUAAGUCCAUUUUUAAAGUUCGGAGCUCAACUCCGUGAUGGGAUGGAAACUGGGAUUCUUGAGUACCGGAGAGGAAAGCGGAAUUCCCCGUGUAGCGGUGAAAUGCGUAGAUAUGGGGAGGAACACCAGUGGCGAAGGCGGCUUUCUGGACGGUGUCUGACACUGAGGCGCGAAAGCCAGGGGAGCGAACGGGAUUAGAUACCCGGGUAGUCC
rnacentral:rRNA from 1 species